rnacentral:rRNA from 1 species
AUACGUAGGUGACAAGCGUUAUCCGGAUUUACUGGGCGUAAAGGGCGUGUAGGCGGUCUUGCAAGUCAGAAGUGAAAUUCCUGAGCUCAACUCGGGCGCUGCUUCUGAAACUGCAGGACUUGAGUGCUGGAGGGGAUAGCGGAAUUCCUAGUGGAGCGGUAAAAUGCGCAGAUAUUAGGAAGAACACCGGUGGCGAAGGCGGCUAUCUGGACAGUAACGGACGCUGAGGCGCGAAAGCGUGGGGAGCAAACAGGAUUAGAUAUCCUGGUAGUCCACGCCGUAAACGAUGAAUACUAGGUGUAGGGGGUAUCGACUCCCUCUGUGCCGCAGUUAACACAAUAAGUAUUCCGCCUGGGGAGUACGGCCGCAAGGUUGAAACUCAAAUGAAUUGACGGGG